UACGUAGGGGGCAAGCGUUGUCCGGAAUUAUUGGGCGUAAAGAGCGUGUAGGCGGUCCGGUAAGUCAGCUGUGAAAGUCAAGGGCUCAACCCUUGAAUGCCGGUUGAUACUGUCGGGCUAGAGUCCGGAAGGGGCGAGUGGAAUUCCUGGUGUAGCGGUGAAAUGCGCAGAUAUCAGGAGGAACACCUAUGGCGAAGGCAGCUCGCUGGGACGGUACUGACGCUGAGGCGCGAAAGCGCGGGGAGCAAACAGG
rnacentral:rRNA from 1 species